rnacentral:rRNA from 1 species
GGAGACGCUAGGCGGUAGGCUUAUACCUGCACGUCUAGCGCCCCGCAUGGGGAGCGGCAGACGGGUGAGUAGCGCGUGGGAAUCUACCCAGCUCUACGGAAUAACCCAGGGAAACUUGGACUAAUACCGUAUACGUCCUUCGGGAGAAAGAUUUAUCGGAGUUGGAUGAGCCCGCGUUGGAUUAACUAGUUGGUGGGGUAAAGGCCUACCAAGGCGACGAUCCAUAGCUGGUCUGAGAGGAUGAUCAGCCACACUGGGACUGAGACACGGCCCAGACUCCUACGGGAGGCAGCAGUGGGGAAUAUUGGACAAUGGGCGCAAGCCUGAUCCAGCCAUGCCGCGUGAGUGAUGAAGGCCCUAGGGUUGUAAAGCUCUUUGGCGGUGAAGAUAAUGACGGUAACCGUAGAAGAAGCCCCGGCUAACUUCGUGCCAGCAUCCUCGGUAAUACGAAGGGGGCUAGCGUUGUUCGGAAUUACUGGGCGUAAAGCGCACGUAGCGGAUCAUCAUUAGGGGUGAAAUCCCAGGGCUCAACCCUGGAACUGCCUCUAAUACUGCCAUCUGGAUUUCCAGAGAGGUGAGUGGAAUUUCCAGGGAGAGGUGAAAUUUCUAAAAAUUCCGAAGAAACUGGAACGG